UGCACAGGUGUCACCAAGGUUGGGCUUUGCCUCACUAGUUCCAUUACCUUCAUCAGCCUCCUCUUACAAAUGCAAAAUGGACUGCAAAUUUGGGCCUCUGAGUCCAGUGCUUAGGUUUCCGGCCAUUUUCAUAGAGAGAACAGAGCUGUCAGGACACUACCGCUGCCCUGGCUCCACCCUGGUCUCCUUGUCCUGUUUCUGGAGCUGGAGUCAUACAGCUAUCAGGACCUCAGGGCAACCUGCUGUAUCCCCCUGAGUCCUAGACUCCACAAGGAGCUGCAGCUAAAAUGCCAUCCAGCAAAACUGCAGACCACAUCAUUUGAGAUUCUGGGCUUGCUUCGUGAGCUAGAAAUGAACUGAGCCACUGUCCAAAAUGGAGAGCAUGAGCAGGAAAACAGGUGCAUGCAGUACCAGGAAGAUGUCAUGUAUCAGAAGUCUUUCCCAAGAUGGGCAACCAUUGUGAUCAAGUGGAGAUGGACAAAAUCUGGUGGAGACAGCAGGAAAGCUGCAAAAGAGGAGGAAAGUGGAAAAAUAAAAUAAAGGCAAUGCCCAUUUACAGUAGUGAACCAUCAGAGAACCAAAC